rnacentral:lncRNA from 1 species
GCUGGCUAGAAACCUACGGACAUUGUAAAGUAGUUAUGGAUCUCCAAGCCAACCGUCUAUGUGGUUAUAAAGUCAGAAACGGGGGAAAGGAAUCUUGGAUCGGGUAGAAAAAUGAAAUGGAAUCUGUAAGAAGUCAAGGAGGCUGCCCAGGUGAAUUGAAUGUUAUAGACACCAUUGAAAAUUGACAGCAAAAUCUUGAAUUUCUAGCUCUUGGAAGCCUUUCAUCAAAGGUAAUUUGUCAUUUUUACCGAAAACUAUUACAAAUCUUGAAACAGAAGGAAAACUCAACUAUGGCUCCAUUAAUUUAUACUUUUUGAAACCGAAAAAAAGUAUAACAUUAUCUGAAAAAAAGGGAAAAUAUUUCAGAGAAAAUUAACUUAUUUCAUUCACAAAAUAUUAUCUUCCAUGUAUGCAAAAAGUUAGACUAGGCUUGUACCCCUUUUUCAUUCAAUCGUUCAUUUAUUAAAAACUUUCCCUUCACCGUUCAUUUUUAAAUUAUUUAUUUAUUCAUUUAGUAUUUAUCAGUAUAAAAAGGGAAACCUACCACCAAAGAUAAUAAUUAUAAUUAUACGCAUAAUAAGGAACGAUAUACGUAGUAAUCCUCAAGAAAAUAAUUCAAAAUUGACCCUUAUAGACAAUAAGAAAGUGAAAGUAAAAAGGAACACCGUUCAUCGUUCUUUUUUUUCCCCCUGUUUGUCGUUCAUUUGUUCAAAAUAUGAAUGAAAAGCUUGAGCACUUUUCGCUUUUCCAUUUCAUGUACAAACCUGGGUGGGAAGUCAAAUUAGUGGUGGUGAUGAUGAGAUGCAUCCGUCAAACAAGACUUUUGUAGAUCUUGGCAACUUCAAAUUUACUCCAACUAUUAAUACAGACUUUGAUUGGUCUUUAGGUAUGUUUAAAACUACAAUUACAGAUCGAACGGAUAAAUUAACCGAAGAAAAUCUUCUAAAAUCUUGAUUUAUCGAUAUAUUAUGAAGCAAAAUUUAUCAAUAAAUUAUGGAUUAAGCAACUUGUUUUCUUGGAUUCAUCUCACAUGACAGUCAUCUCCCAUUGUAUAUAUAUCACAUGGGAUCAACUUCUCUCUCAACUUCGGAAUUCCUUUCACUUAUCAGCAAAGAAUAUUAAGAGGAGUGGAAUAGGUGGACUUCUACGUUCUCCAAGAUUUAUGACAAAAGGCAAAUAGAGGAAAUCGAAGGAAGAUACAUCCUCCAUCUCAAGAGAUGCUCUUAUUUGGAACUCCGUAUUCUACGGGCGAAAACCUGAGGCAAAUUAAUCCUAGGAAAAAUACCAGGCUUCAUAAGAGAGGAGAGUCGACACCUUCCUAGGGAAGAAGAUUCCAGGAUAGCAACAAUCAAGAUAUCCAUUCACGAUGAUUUGGGAAUUUCAAAUGUAAUUAGUAAUAACAUUAUUUGAAUUAGUACGAAGUGCAGUAUUA